CCCGCGUCAGAGGGUUUGCCCUGCUUAUAGCCCGGCAGCAGCCCAGCGCCAGGCAGCUGCUCUCUCACUACCCACCAGCAGGACUGGGGAGAGAAUUGGAAGGGUGAAAACUACAAAACUCAUCCGUUGAGAUGUAGACAGUUUAUAACAGAGAAAGCAAAAGGCCCGCACACAAGCAAACCAACAAAAGGAAUGAAUUCCGUACUUCCCGUUAUUGAGCUGGCAUAAAAGGAAACAGGAGAAAUGAGGCACUAAAGUUUAAAAUGACCUUCUGUGAAUUAUCAUCAUGGUGCAUCAUCUCAUCAUCCCAUAGCAACAAGAAGUUUUGGCUGAAACUGUGUCUAAACAGAGGAAUGCUACUACUGUGCAAACACCUUGCUUGUGUGUCUUCAGCUGAGAAAUACGUGGGAUUUGUUUCUGAAGUCUUGCUUUGCUCAUUGAUAAUUGUACUCCAGUAAAAACGAAAUACAAAAGUCCAUUAAGUUUUUUUGUAAUGAAUUUUUAAUGAUUGCUUAAGACCCUUCUGCUGCAACUGAUGCAUCCCCGCUAUCAUUCAUGUUAUCAUUCAUGUUGUCAUUGUAUUCAAAGGACUAAAUAAACACAUAAAUAGAAAGAUCUGUGCAGGUAAGCAUUUAGUAUUUCAUAACUUUUAAAAUCUUCCAGUAUUUAGACAAUGUGGUUUUUCCUCAGGAAGCCAAACUGUAGUUUCUCAUACUGAUGCUGCUCCCAGAAAGAGCAUACAGAUCACUGUAUCAAGAAGUGCCUUCUCUUUUUCCAACCCUAGAUUAUUAUGCUUUAUAAUGAUUGAAAAAAUAUUGAUGAUUGUCCUUCCUCACAGAGGAUUUCAAAGAAAACUGUGACAGAGUACUGAAAGGCAGACAUGAAAAUAUGAUUACUGUAAAAAAAUUCUAUUGUAAACCAUAAACUGUCAUGCCUAUGUGCUUUCUUGAUGUGUCCCAUUUUCUCUGCAGAAAUUUGGUCUGGUAGUUUUCAAGUAUUUUCUUUUAUUAUUUUCUUUUCAGGUGCUUGGUAUUUCCACAGUGUGCAUGAACAGCAGCUUCAAUUGGACUUGCUAUUCUGUGUUAGAAACAUUGUACAAUUGGUUAUUUCAGGAUGUUUCUGAGCAAACAAGAUAUUAUGUGUACUUCACAGCAGAGCAAAUAUUUCUUAGAAGGAUGAGAAUUGUUGUAUGUACACACUACAAGUGAUUUAUUUAAGUACAGUUACUCAGAGGCAUCCCCCAAACUCUGAAAUUACAGCACAGGAAGCUGUAAAAAUACCAGUAACAAAUACAGAACUGCAAAUGAAAUCUUGUCUCCAGAAAAUUCAGAUGGCUGUGAGUUUAGGAAAGCAUACUAUGUUCCAGUUUAAAACACAGAUAAUGUAAAUAUAAUCCCAUGUGACACAAGAACAACAAAACGUUCAGUUUAAUAAAGUAAAGGUAGAAAAUUUUAAACUGGUUAAAAUAAUUUUGCUGACACAUUGUAAAUCUAGCCAAAGGGUAUUUCCCCAAGGAGGUAUUACUAAAAAUUGUGUUAUUUAAAACUAUCAUUAAGAACAAGUGUCUAAUAGAAUAUAAGGUAUACUUUGCAAAUUAUAGAGAUAAGGUCAACAUCUACGUUUGCUUUAGUAUAAAUAACAAAUGCAUACCCACAAUUAUGGAAGGAAUUAUUUAAAUCUAUGUCCAAAAUUUUAGAUUUCAAACUAUUUUGAAUUGAUGAAGAAGACUAUUUCUUCAUGGUUGGAUUAUUUCCUGCCCUUGUACUUCAGAGUACUUCCCCAAGGUCCUUUUAUUCCUGCUGCUCUAGCAAAGACUUAAUAAGAUUUAAGUUUUCCCUUUGCUCACUAUGGUAAUUUAUAUGUAACAAAACAUUAUUUUCUGUAAUAAAAUCAAUUAAAUAGUCCUGCAAAUACACAAAACUAGCUUCAUAAAAAUGAUUUUUCUUUCUUACAGCAAAAAUCAGUUACUUUGCAUCACACUAGGACUCAGCCUACUGAGCUGCUAAAUAAACUAGCUACUGUUUCAGAUCCUUUUACACCUCUAAAAACAAAGAUUAAAAAAAGUAACAAAUGAAAUAUGGUUUUAUUCCAGGUCACAUUAUCUAGAUAAUCCACUUGGAUGCUAAAACACAACUAUAAGAUAUAAAAUAUUGCUCAGACAGUCCUCAUUUGUGCUGGACACUUAAACCAGUUAUGAAGGAAUAGCAAUAUUUAAAUGAUUGUUUUAUUGAUGAUAUGUUGUUGUUAUUCAUAGCAAUUACUAAUUGCUUAAUAAAUGUAGGUUUUAUAUUGGAAUAGAAUAGAAUUAGAAUUUUCAGUUGUAAGGGACAUAAAAUGAUAAUCUACUCCAACUGCCUGACCCCUUCAGGCUUGACCAACAGGUAAAAUAUGUUAUGAAGGCCAUUGCACAAAUACCUAUUAAACUAUGGAUUACAGACUCAGCCAUGUUCCCAUCAUCCAGAUCUCCUCAAAUACCUAUUGUUAUGGUUUAGCAAAACCUAAGCUCUGCAGGAUAACUCAGACUAGUAAAUUAAAUACUAACUAGCAAAAAUUCUCAAGGGAACCAUAACAAAUUAAAGUUUCAUUAAAGAGACAGAAUAGUCUACAUAUAUUUGUAUCUCACAUUAAUAUAUCAGGAUAUACACAGGCUGUUAAGUAUGAAAAAAUUAUUGCAUGCAAUCUCUCUAUAUCUAAAAGUAAUUUCUAAAUAAAAGUUCUUUGUAAUUUGAA